rnacentral:hammerhead_ribozyme from 1 species
ACCCAUCUGACGAGUCCCAUAUAGGACGAAACGCACAUCCUAGAU